rnacentral:rRNA from 1 species
GACGAACGCUGGCGGCGUGCUUAACACAUGCAAGUCGAACGGUGAAAGCGGAGCUUGCUCCGCUGGAUCAGUGGCGAACGGGUGAGUAACACGUGGGCAACCUGCCCCAGACUUCGGGAUAACUCCUCGAAAGAGGUGCUAAUACCGGAUACGAAGCCCCCAGGCAUCUGGGGGUUUGGAAAGUUUUUCGGUCUGGGAUGGGCCCGCGGCCUAUCAGCUUGUUGGUGAGGUAACGGCUCACCAAGGCGACGACGGGUAGCCGGCCUGAGAGGGAGACCGGCCACACUGGGACUGAGACACGGCCCAGACUCCUACGGGAGGCAGCAGUGGGGAAUAUUGCGCAAUGGGCGAAAGCCUGACGCAGCAACGCCGCGUGAGGGAUGACGGCCUUCGGGUUGUAAACCUCUUUCAGCAGGGAAGAAGCGAAAGUGACGGUACCUGCAGAAGAAGCACCGGCUAACUACGUGCCAGCAGCCGCCGUAA